AUUGAACGCUGGCGGCAUGCCUUACACAUGCAAGUCGAACGGUAACAGGUCUUCGGAUGCUGACGAGUGGCGAACGGGUGAGUAAUACAUCGGAACGUGCCUAGUAGUGGGGGAUAACUACUCGAAAGAGUGGCUAAUACCGCAUGAGAUCUACGGAUGAAAGCAGGGGAUCGCAAGACCUUGUGCUACUAGAGCGGCCGAUGGCAGAUUAGGUAGUUGGUGGGAUAAAAGCUUACCAAGCCGACGAUCUGUAGCUGGUCUGAGAGGACGAUCAGCCACACUGGGACUGAGAAACGGCCCAGACUCCGACGGGAGGCAGCAGUGGGGAAUUUUGAACAAUGGGCGAAAGCCUGAUCCAGCAAUGCCGCGUGCAGGAUGAAGGCCUUCGGGUUGUAAACUGCUUUUGUACGGAACGAAAAGCCCCGGGUUAAUACCCUGGGGUCAUGACGGUACCGUAAGAAUAAGCACCGGCUAACUACGUGCCAGCCGCCGCAGUAA
rnacentral:rRNA from 1 species